rnacentral:lncRNA from 1 species
AAAUCUUUCCUGCAAAAGUUCAUACUGUAGCUUGCAACAACAAUCAGUCACCGGCUUGAAUUAUAUUAUGUGCACUACAGUGUACCCAGUUUUCAAUGUACUAUUUAACACCAUAAGCCAACAAAUUGCAUAAAAUAUGGAAUGUUCAUCUCUAAUAAAAACCGCUGAAACAAAAAUCAUAACCAAAGAUCCAACCAAAAAUCAUAACCAGAACCUAUACCGCGUGCUUGGAAGCUACUUGAUGAAAUGCCUAAGAAAAAUAAACUAGAAAUAUAGAUGAAAAAGGUGAGUAAAAUCACUGGCGUACCUCAUAAUGUCCUCUUCAAGUGAAGGCUGAUGAUGGCUUGAAGAUGAAGAGUGAAAAUGGCGUAAAGAUGUCCGAUGAUCUUGAAUAUGAAGGCUAAUGGUGUCUGUCUCUGUCGGGCUUGAAGAACUGGUGAGAAAGAUGAAGGUGUGAUGCUAAGGACAGUGGAAAUCUCUGAGGUAGUGAGGUGAAAGAGGCGAUGGAUGCGGUGAGUGAGAGAGGCAGUGAAAUUGUGAAAGAGAGGGAGAGAGAGCAAGCUGAGUUGGUGAAUCAAGCGGCGGAGACAGAGGAAGG